UCUUGGUGCUGUUGGCACUCACAAAUUAAUUUAAAGUAGAAAAGCACCAUUUAAUACAGGUAAUAGGCAUUGGGGAAAAACUGGAUAUAAUCUGGAUUUUUGGGACACCCGCACAGCCUUUCUGCUGGAUUUCCCAGAGGAACAGCUGGAUUUUCCCACUGGAUUUUCAGAGCACCCUUCUGCAGGAUCACUGCUCUGACAAGUGAGAUGGGAGGAGCCAAGCAUUCCUAACUGGAUAUAAUCUGGAUUUUUGGGACACCAGCAAAGCCUUUUCCACUGGAUUUCCCAGAGGAACAGCUGUGUUUUCCCACUGGAUCAUCAGAGGAAGUCUCCACCCUUCUCCAGGAGGACUGCAGCCACUCCAAUUUGGACUGACCAAAAGGGUAUCAGCUUUGCUUUCAAAACAGAACAUCAUCUUGGCGCCCAACGUGGGGCUCUUCACGAUGAAGAUUCUUCCAACCCCCAGUACAGCAUUCCCACAGCAAGCUGUGUCUAGAAAUCCACUUUAUUUGGUUGAAGACAAGUCAGAAAUCCACUUUAUUUGGUUGAAGACGAGUCAGUGAUGGCCAACUCAGCCCCAGAUCCCUCUGAGAACCUCGAGGAGCCACAGGCCACGCUCGCCCCAGCUGGGCAGCAUCUGGUGGGUAUCCAGGAGCACAUUCCCAGCUGGACCAGCUCUCCAUGGCCUGACAGGACACACCUGAGCUUCAGCAGCUGCUGGCACGUGGCACUGGGUGUCCCUCGUGUCCCAGGCCGGCACAGCAGCGGGAAGGUGGAGCAGGGAGGAGCUGGGAUGUGCUGGGAGCAGGAGUGGAGCUGCUCCCCACCCCUGGAAGUGGCACUGGAGCCAGUCCUUGGCCAGCAGUGGUUGUAUCCCUUGGGAGGAGGAGGAGGAGGAGGAGGAGGAGGAGGAGGAGGAGGAAGGGGAAGAUUUUCCUGACCAAACUCCCCCCCAACGCUUCCCUUUGCUGCAUGGAUCAGGAAAAAUCUGGGGAGGGAGUGGGAAGGAGCAGGACACAAAGUGGGGGGAGGUGGCAGCUGAAAGUGUCACCUCGGGGGGCAGAGGGGAUGGCAGCAGCACUGGGCAGCUGAAAGUGUCACCCCAGUCCCCUCGGGGGG